rnacentral:rRNA from 1 species
CGGCCGCGUCGACGAAAGACGGUUUUGCUGUCACGUUAUAGAUGGAUCCGCGCCGCAUUAGCUAGUUGGUAAGGUAACGGCUUACCAAGGCAACGAUGCGUAGCCGACCUGAGAGGGUGAUCGGCCACAUUGGAACUGAGACACGGUCCAGACUCCUACGGGAGGCAGCAGUAGGGAAUCUUCCGCAAUGGGCGAAAGCCUGACGGAGCAACGCCGCGUGAGUGAUGAAGGUCUUCGGAUCGUAAAACUCUGUUAUUAGGGAAGAACAAAUGUGUAAGUAACUAUGCACGUCUUGACGGUACCUAAUCAGAAAGCCACGGCUAACUACGUGCCAGCAGCCGCGGUAAUACGUAGGUGGCAAGCGUUAUCCGGAAUUAUUGGGCGUAAAGCGCGCGUUAGGCGGUUUUUUAAGUCUGAUGUGAAAGCCCACGGCUCAACCGUGGAGGGUCAUUGGAAACUGGAAAACUUGAGUGCAGAAGAGGAAAGUGGAAUUCCAUGUGUAGCGGUGAAAUGCGCAGAGAUAUGGAGGAACACCAGUGGACCGG